CAAUAGCGUAUAUUUAAGUUGUUGCAGUUAAAAAGCUCGUAGUUGGAUUUCGGAUGGGACUUGCCGGUCCGUCGUUUCGAUGUGCACUGGCCAGUCCUAUCUUGUUGUCGGGGACUAGCUCCUGGGCUUCACUGUCCGGGACUAGGAGCUGACGAGGUUACGUUGAGUAAAUUAGAGUGUUCAAAGCAAGCCUACGCUCUGAAUACAUUAGCAUGGAAUAACACGAUAGGACUCUGGCUUAUCUUGUUGGUCUGUGAGACCAGAGUAAUGAUUAAGAGGGACAGUCGGGGGCAUUCGUAUUUCAUUGUCAGAGGUGAAAUUCUUGGAUUUAUGAAAGACGAACUUCUGCGAAAGCAUUUGUCAAGGAUGUUUNCAUUA
rnacentral:rRNA from 1 species